AAGUCGUAACAAGGUUUCCGUAGGUGAACCUGCGGAAGGAUCAUUACUGAAUUUAUAAUGGGCGAGGUUGUCGCUGGCCUUUUUAUUGGGGCAUGUGCACGCCGCGUUCAAUCCAAAUUCUUAAACCUCUGUGCACCUUUCAUGGGAUGGAGUCUAUGUUUGCUGGCUCUUUGCGGGGCUGACAUUCUGAUUUCACCUGUGUCCUAUUAUUAAACUUGUCAGUUAAGAAUGUCAUCUUGCGAUAUAUACGCAAUUAUAUACAACUUUCAGCAACGGAUCUCUUGGCUCUC
rnacentral:misc_RNA from 1 species